rnacentral:lncRNA from 1 species
AUCCCCCUUUAAUCCCCCAUCCCCCCAUUCAACCCAACUUCAGCCCCCGCGCUGCGCCCCCCUUCCCUGGCCCGGCUCGAUUGGCCGCUUCCUGAGCUGUCAGACUUGAGUCCGGCGCUCUUAUUGGGCGAUUCUCGGGCCGGGCGGCUGUGCCAAAGGAGGGCGCACCGGGCCGGGGGCGCCCAGGCAGCGACUGCCGCAGGGAGCCGAAGACCAGAGUCCCUGGAGGGCCAGAGGGGCCCAAGAGCCAGACCCGGAAAUGGACGGGAGAGAUGGAGAGACUGAGGAUCUCUGAGGCCCAGGAAGACAGUUACGGGAAAGAUGGAGAUGCAGUUGGUGAGGCCGAUGCAACCAGGGCUGGGCGGACAGGAAUGCUUUGGUGGAUAGUUACAGAGCAAGAACCCCGCAGACAGCAUUACGAACACCUGGCGUUUGUGAAGAGCUCUCUCUGCUCGUUCGCAUUUCACCUGAUGAGCAAACAGUCCACUCAACGCAGGACUGAGGGACAAGCACUAAACUUGGGGUCAGAGUACCUGGAGGUUCUUCACCAGCCCCACCACUUUCCAGCUGCAUGA